GACGAACGCUGGCGGCGUGCCUAAUACAUGCAAGUAGAACGCUGAAGGAGGAGCUUGCUUCUCUGGAUGAGUUGCGAACGGGUGAGUAACGCGUAGGUAACCUGCCUGGUAGCGGGGGAUAACUAUUGGAAACGAUAGCUAAUACCGCAUAAGAGUAGAUGUUGCAUGACAUUUGCUUAAAAGGUGCAAUUGCCUCACUACCAGAUGGACCUGCGUUGUAUUAGCUAGUUGGUGAGGUAACGGCUCACCAAGGCGACGAUACAUAGCCGACCUGAGAGGGUGAUCGGCCACACUGGGACUGAGACACGGCCCAGACUCCUACGGGAGGCAGCAGUAGGGAAUCUUCGGCAAUGGACGGAAGUCUGACCGAGCAACGCCGCGUGAGUGAAGAAGGGUUUCGGAUCGUAAAGCUCUGUUGUAAGAGAAGAACGAGUGUGAGAGUGGAAAGUUCACACUGUGACGGUAUCUUACCAGAAAGGGACGGCUAACUACGUG
rnacentral:rRNA from 1 species